CUUGACACUGAACACUGGUCCUUGAUGUGUAGGAUAGGUGGGAGGCUUUGAAGCGUGGACGCCAGUCUGCGUGGAGCCAACCUUGAAAUACCACCCUUUAAUGGCUGGUGUUCUAACGUAGACCCGUAAUCCGGGUUGCGGACAGUGUCUGGUGGGUAGUUUGACUGGGGCGGUCUCCUCCCAAAGAGUAACGGAGGAGCACGAAGGUUGGCUAAUCCUGGUCGGACAUCAGGAGGUUAGUGCAAUGGCAUAAGC
rnacentral:rRNA from 1 species